rnacentral:rRNA from 1 species
GAUGAACGCUGGCGGCGUGCUUAACACAUGCAAGUCGAACGGACAACACGGAGCUUGCCCCGUGGGACCAGUGGCGAACGGGUGAGUAACACGUGAGCAACCUGCCCCUGUCUCUGGGAUAAGCCCUGGAAACGGCGUCUAAUACUGGAUAUGAGACGUUAUCGCAUGGUCUGCGUCUGUAAAGAAUUGCGUUUGGGGAUAGGUUCGCGGCCUAUCAGCUUGUUGGUGAGGUAUGGGCUCACCAAGCCUUCGACGGGUAGCCGGCCUGGGAGGGUGAACGGCCACAAUGGGACUGCGAGACGGCCCAGACUCCUACUGGACGCAGCAGUGGAGAAUAUUGCAGAAUAGGCGCAAGCCUGAUGCAGCGGCGCCGCGUGCGGGAUGACGGCCUUCGGGUUAUAAACCACUUUUAGCAGAGAAAAAGCGAUAGUGACGGUACCUGCAGAGAAAGCGCCGGCUAACUACGUG